rnacentral:rRNA from 1 species
GACGAACGCUGGCGGCGUGCUUAACACAUGCAAGUCGAACGGAAAGGCCCUGCUUUUGUGGGGUGCUCGAGUGGCGAACGGGUGAGUAACACGUGAGUAACCUGCCCUUGACUUUGGGAUAACUUCAGGAAACUGGGGCUAAUACCGGAUAGGAGCUCCUGCUGCAUGGUGGGGGUUGGAAAGUUUCGGCGGUUGGGGAUGGACUCGCGGCUUAUCAGCUUGUUGGUGGGGUAGUGGCUUACCAAGGCUUUGACGGGUAGCCGGCCUGAGAGGGUGACCGGCCACAUUGGGACUGAGGUACGGCCCAGACUGCUACGGGAGGCAGCAGUGGGGAAUAUUGCACAAUGGGCGGAAGCCUGAUGCAGCAACGCCGCGUGCGGGAUGACGGCCUUCGGGUUGUAAACCGCUUUCGCCUGUGACGAAGCGUGAGUGACGGUAAUGGGUAAAGAAGCACCGGCUAACUACGUG